AGGUUAGUAGUUUAGAAAAAAAACAGGUAAUUUGCAAAAUUACUAAAGAAAAAUUUUCCUUACCUU
rnacentral:tRNA from 1 species